GGCGGUGGUGGUGGGCACGGUGUUUCUUUCGGUGUCGGUGGUGGUGGCGGUGGAGGACAUGGAGUUUCCGGUGGUGGUUUUGGUACGACCGGUGGUUUUGGUGGUGGUUCGACUGUCGGUGGUUUUGGCAUGAUCGGAGGUUUGGGUAUGAUUGGAGGAUGGAUAACGGGUGGAUUAGGUAUGAUUGGAGGAUGGACAACGGGUGGAUUAGGUAUGAUUGGAGGAUGGAUAACCGGUGGAUUAGGUAUGAUUGGAGGAUGGAUAACCGGUGGAUUAGGUAUGGUCGGGGGAUACACAAUCGGAGGGUGCACAAUUGGAGGUUUAGGUACGGUUGGUGGUUCGACUACCGGAGGUUUUGGCUCGACGGGCGGUGGUUUUGGGACGUACGGUGGUGGAUUUACGACGACCGGAGGAUGUGGCGUGGAGGAGGGCGGUGGUUUCAUUACCGGCGGGUGUUUCGGAGGCAAAUGUGGCGGUAGCUUUGGUGGAUUGAUUGGAGGAGUUGGGU
rnacentral:lncRNA from 1 species